GCUGUAAAGACAGCCCUUGUUGUGGAAUCCUUCUCAGGAGAUACAUUUACACUCUGUCCUACAGAGGAGGCUCCUGCCUUUAUAGGAGGUGUAGUAAGAAUUUUAGGACCAAGAAGGAGAAGCUUAGGUCUAUCCCCUUUGUACAUUUAUUUAAUAAGUAUUAAAUGUGUAAGUGGUUACCAUAAUGACAGGAUAAAUCAAACAGAGAUUCUGCUAUUAGUGUGUUACCUGUGUAGCCAGGAGAGACUAUGAUCAAGAAUUUUCAAAUCCAAGAUAGAGAUUAAAAUCACCAAAGUGAAUACAGAUAAAAGUGUGGGAAGCAAAAAAUAAAUAUCUUAGUUUAUUAUUUUACAUGUUGGAAUUAAACAGCCUGCUUAAUGGGAAAUUGCAAAUUUUUUUCCAAUUUUAAAGCCUCUUUUAUGUUAAUUUGAAUUUAAUUUGUAUGCCACUUGUAUUAGAUACAAUAUAUUUGUCUUUCAGAGUUUUUGUUUUAGGUAGUUUUUUAACAGUUUAACUGGGAAAUUAAAAUGUAUCUUUAGAAGUUACAUUAUCAGGAUGAACUAAUUAAUUGUCCAGAAGAGAAGAGUGAGAUUUUAUAAUCUUUUUUGAUUUGAUUGUCAGUGGAGGAAUCAGACAUCAUUCAUCUGGAGAAAUGCUGUUGGUUGCUGAGGGCUCAAUCCCGAACUGGAUGAUUUGAUUUAGAGACAUUUGGCCCAUUGGCUUCACCACCAAUUCGUCCAUCUCUGAGUGAAGGUUUAUUUAAUGCUUUUGGUGAAAAUCAUGACAGCCACAUAGAUUUUAAGGAGAUAUCCUGUGGGUUAUCAGCUUGUUGCAGAGGACCUCUGGCUGAAAGACAGAAAUUUUGCUUCAACGUAUUUGAUGUUGACGGUGAUGGAGUUCUCUCUAGGGUUGAACUGAGAGACACGUGGUUGCACAUUUAGAGGUCUGGAAGGACAACUGCACCGAUGAUACCCUGGUAAAGUCUGAUUGUAUACAUCUUCUUGAAUGUAAACUUCCAACAGGAACAUAGAGUGAAGAACUUUUUAAAACAGGUUGAGAAAAAGAUUUCUUACUACUUCUAGGUUCUAUAUUAUGCUACUCAAAAUAUUCAUAGCCAAAGAUGCAAAAUUGGGAAGAGAAUUUGCCUUAGAAAAUUUAAUAAGCUGAAUGUAUUAUAUUAAAAAAAUGAAACCACUGGAAAAUUGUCAUAAAUUUUUAAGGCAAACAAGCAACCUAUUUCUGUAAUUAAAAAAAGAAAAAAAAAGUUGACCGAAAAUACUUUAUACUUCAGCUACUGGCUAAUAAAAAUGAUACCUUCUCUAUCCUAACUACUGAUUUGGGUUUCUGGUUUUAAAGGAAUUACAUGUGGAUGUAUCCAACAUUGUAGUAGACACAUAGAAUGCACAUGACACCACAAAGAAUGGCCAUCUUAACUCUAGAGGAAUAUCAUCUCUGGAGUGUGAAAAAUGUUCUUGCCAAUGAGUUUUUGAAUCUACUUUUCCAGGUAUGUUUAAGGUAAAUGACAGAGACCGAGGGCAGUGGUAUCAGUAGUUCUACAUCUUUUCCAUUAUGUAGUAGUUAGACAACUAGACUACAAAACCAUAUAUUGUCAAAAGAACUGCAUUAACCUGUACACCACCUGCAGAUGGUAAGUUAGAGCGUGCGUGCUUCUCAGAGUCACAAUGUGCAUGAUAGAAAAAUAGAGUAUAGCUGAUAAUGUUUAUCUUAAUAACUCAUGAUAGAGCAGAUUGUAGACACAUAGAAAAGAAUUUAAAAUGUAAAAGCCAUUAUAAUUUGCUAUUUUUCUUUACUUUUUUUUUUUUUAAGACCCUUCCUAACAAGUAAGGUAGUGUGGACAGAGACAAAGAUCAUAAGUCGGCAGCUGUAAAUUUUUCACAAAGUAUACAAUCUUUCCAGUUAGGAGGUUAUUUUAGAUGCAAAUCUGUUUCUUAAUUUUCUUUUAUUCUUUCUUUCUUUCUUUUUUUUUUUUUUCUUUUUUUAAUUUAGUUCUUUAGAAGGUCCAAAAAAGAUUGAAGGAGAAAGGAGGAAAAAAAGCUGUCAGGGGUGAACAUGAAAUCAUAAAACUUGCCAGAUUUUAACUAUUUUCCAGUUAAAGUAGUUCUCUUUGCUCCAAUUUAAAGAAACAACUUAUAGUUUCCCAUUUUUCAUAGUUCUUCAUAAAUAUAUGUUGAUUUAAUAGUAUUUUACAGGGUGUGAGUAGGGACAGACUGGAAGUUCAAGAUUUGUAAAUACUGACAGGUAUCUAUAGAAUAGAUAAACAAGUUUAUACUGUAUAGCACAGGGAAAUAUAUUGAAAAUUUUGUAGUAGCUCAUGGGGAAAAUAUAUGAAAACAAAUAUACGUAUAUUCGUAAAGUACUGAAAAAUUGUGCUGUACACCAGAAAUUGACACAACAUUGUAAACGGACUAUAACUCAGUAAAAAAAUAAAAACAAGAUAAAACUGUUAGAACACUAUAAAAAAGGUAGUAUUUUAGAUUUUUCUUAUUUUAUUCUCCUUUUCUUAUAAAAGCACCCCUAUGAAGAUCAAUAAGGCUUGAUAUCUUUAUAUCUAUCAUGAUCCUCCAUUGUAAAUACAGAGUAACCUGCCUGUGACACAGCUAUGUUAGAAUAAAUGAAAAUUGAACUCUUCCUGACAGCUAAUAAUUAAUGUAUAUUUAAAGCAUAUGAAAUCUGAUAAGUCUAUGAUACCCAUUUAAAUCAAUCAGUUGCUCCACUGUCAGUUAUCAGCCAGGAUCUAAGUUGAUGUUUUUAUAAAAUAUAAAUACAUAUAAAAAUAAUAUAAACCUACUAUAAACAGAAAUGACUUGCUUAGUAAUAUGAAAAUUGAGCAGCUAUUUUUAUCUCAUUUAAAAUGAUGUCCUCAAUUACUUUAAGUUAUCAUUAAUUAUAUAAACAUUUUGACCACUUAAGUUUGUGUCUGAGUCACCUUGCAGCUCUUACAUAGCAAAGCAUUUUGAACUUUUAUAUUGCCUUUCCUAUUUUCUCAUGUUUAUCAGGGACUUGCAUAGGCACUAUUUUUUCUAGGACUCUAUAAACAGAUGUAUGCCUGAGAUUUUCUUUUGUGUCUGUGUUUCUAGCAUAUUACUGACAGAUUUUUUUGUUGGUUAUCAAUCUAAUUUUUUUUCUUCGUAUAUAUAGUCCUUUCAGCCCUUUCAAGUAUAUAUAUAUGUAGUCAGUUUACAAUGUGUCAAUUUCUGGUGUACAGCACAAUGCUUCAGUCAUACAUGAACAUACAUAUAUUAAUUUUCAUACUUUUUCACCAUAAGUUACUACAAAACAGUAUUGGAUAUAGUUCCCUGUGCUAUACAGUAUGAACUUAUUUAUAAAUUGGGAGUUUGAGAUUUGCAGGUACUAAAUAUUAACAUUACAUUUUAUGAUGCUUACUUUAUCCCAUAUUCAGACAUGCUUUUAAAACUUAAUUUUCACUUAAUAUAUAAGUAAUCAGACUUACUCUAAAUUGUUUUAUUUUCUGUCUGUUUCUAAAAUAGAAUUAGCUAGUAAAUUCAGUGAUAAAAGCUUGAAUUAUACUUUUAUUUUAUUUGCCAAGAUCCCACUCCUGGCUGACCAUUUUGGGUAUUUAAGUAUAAAGUAAGUAAAUGUCAGUAGAAUUAGGAAACCAUUCCUGUGGUAAUAUUAUUUUCAGUCCUUUCAAAUAAACUCAGUGCUCAAUAUUUUGCAGAGGAAGCACUCUAAACAUGAUCAGGAUCUUCUAUCUUGUACGUUAGUCAGAAAGCGUCAAAUGUUAAACAGUUUGAUAAACAGAAUAGUGCACCACACUGACCCCUACCUAUAUCCAUGCUCUAAUCCUGAAAUCUGUGAAUAUGUUAUUUUACAUGGCAAAGGGGAUUUUGCAGAUGUAUCAGGUUAAGGACUCUGAGACAGGGAGAUUAGCCUGGAUUAUCUACAUGGGCCUAGUCUAACAACAGGAGUCCUUAAAAAUUGAAAAUCUUUCCCAGCUGUGGUCAGAAAGAUAAGACUUUGGAAGAAGGAUUAGAAAGCUGUAAAGCUGUUAGCUUUGAAGAUAGAGGAAGGGCCAUGGGUAAAGAAAUGUGGGUGAACUCUAGAAGCUGGAAAAGACAAGGAAAUAUAUUCUUCCUUUGACCUACAGGGCAUACAGCCCUGCUGACAUCUUGAUUUUUAGCCAAAUGAUACCUGUUCCUGACUUGAACUACAGAACCAUAAAAUAAUAAGUUUGUGUUGCUUUAAGCUGCAAAAUUUGUGAUAAUUUGUUACAGCAGUGAUAAAAAUAAAUAUAGGGGAGGUAAUCCAACUUUAUGGAUUGGAGGGCUCAGCAUUUUAAAGAUGUCAGUUCCCCUUCAACUGAUUCAAAGAUUUAUAUGUGCACAUCAAAAUCCCCAACAGUUAAUUGUUGUUACUGUUUUUUUGUAGAACUUGACAAGCUGAUUCUAAAUACAUAGAGAAGCGUGAAGGGCCAACAAUAGCCAAGAUGAUAUUAAAGAACAAUGUUAAAGGACUUAUAAAACAAUAUUAAGUCUAUGUGAUAACUACCUAAAGUUAGACAUAUAGACCAAUGGAACAGCAUUGAAUUAAACCCUGUACCAUACAUGAACAGUAACUUUAGAUAGAUUAUAAAUCUAAUAUAUUUGAAACAUAAAGCAAAGCAUCUGGGGGAGGGUAAAGCUCAGGUGGAAUGUGUGCUUAGCAUGCAUAAGGUCUUGGGUUCAACUCCCAGUACCUCCAUUAAAAUAAAUAACCUAAUCCCCCACCAAAAUAAAGCAUCUAGAAAAUAGUGUAGGAGAUAGUUUAAUGACUUUGAAGUGGCAAAGAGUUCUUAAACCAGACAAAGCAUGAAACAUAAAAGAAGAGUUUUAAGUUGGACUUCAGUAAAAUUAAGAAUUAUUUUUAUCAAGAGAUACCAUUAAGAAAGUGAAAAGCUAAGCCACACGGUGGGAAAAUAUAUUUGCUAUACCUAUAUCCAACAAAAGACUUGUAUCUAGGGCAUAUAAAGAACAAAAACCAGCGGAGAAAAAGGCAGAACCUCAAUAUAAAAAUAUGCAAAAUAAUUGAACAGGUGAUUCACACACACACAAAAAAAUCCACAUAAGCUAUGAAAAGGGGCUGACCUCUUUAGUAAUAAUGGAAAUAUGUACUAAAACCACACUUGGAACACCAUUAGACAUCCACUAGAAUAGUUAGUUGUUAAGUGAUAUGAAGCAUUGGUGAGGGCAGCAAACAAUGGGGACUCUUACACAUGGCCAGCGGGAAUAUAAAUUCUUACAAAUACUUUGGAAAUAGGCUUUUUGAAUGAAAGUUAUAUAUGUGUGUGUGUGUGUGUGUAUAUGUACACACACACACAUACACAUACACACACACCCACACCCUAUUACCAAGGGUAACCCAUGUGUGUACCCUUCAGAAACUUCUACAUAUGAGCACCAAAGGACAUCCAGAAAAUUCUCAUAAUCAGUAUUUGUUAUACCCCCAAAUAGAAAAUGACCCAAACACUUGUCAACAAUAAAUACAUAACCAUAAGUGGUGGCACAUGCAUACAAAUUGUAUACUUUAAAGCAAUAAAAAAUAUACUAGUUUACAGAAAACACUAGUGGAUGAAUCUUACAUAAUGUUGAGUGGAAAGUACGGGACCAAAAAUUUCAAAAGCAAAAAAACCAAUCCAUGGUGGCUGAAUUUAGGAUGGUGAAUCCAUCAAAGGGGUGCCGUAGUAACUGGGAAGAAACCCAAAGUGGAACAGCAAUGUCCUGUUUCUUGACUGGAUGAAGGUUACAUAGAUGUGUUUACUUUGUGAAAAAUCACUGAGCUGUAUACUUAAGAUGUGUUCACAUUUAAGCAUGUAUAUUAUAUUUGCAUUCUUUAAAAAAAAAGUUUGCUUGCAAAAAAAGAUAUCCAAAGCCCAAGUAUUUAUCAGUAGGAGAAUGGAUAAAACAAAUGAUAGUAUAUUCAAACAAUGGAAUACUACUCAACAAUAAAAAAGAAUCAACUACUGAUACAAGGAUGAACCUCAAAAGCCUAAUUUAUACAUUUCAUUGUCAGGUAAAUUUUAACUCAGAAGGUAAACAAAACUAAACAGGCAUGUGCCCUGGGGGGAGGGGUGCUGUAGCCUUUGUCUCCUCAGACCUGUGCCAUUACUGGCACAUCUCGCAAGAAGAGAGGCAGGGCUCAGCCACAGCUACCAUCUCCUCCUGUGCAUAGUGCCUGGGCAGGGGCGGGGCUGAGGCCUGAAUCUGCACGUGGGGGCUCCACAACCUCCUAGGCAGGACUGAGACUUGUUUAUAGCCUGAGGCAGAGAGGAUCUUUCUACCCUGACACCUCAGAGAACUUGUGCUGCCAAGAGAAACAAGGAGCUAAGAUUUGGCACAGAGCAUAGGUGGGGCUGUUCCGCAGUCUUCCCCGAGCCCACCUACAGACCGCCUACCCGAGGCAGAGCAGGCAGCUGCACAGAGCAGCAGAGUGACCAGCACGAGGAGAGGGCAGGUGGGCAGCCACCCACCUUCCUGGCAGGAACACAGCUCCUGACCACGGUGCUGGGACUGGGUGUGAUCUGCCCACCUGCCUCCCCCUGAUCACAGCAUCUGACUGUGGCAUCAGGAGGGGGAGUGACCUGCCCGCCCACCGGGUAAGAGCUCAGCUCCUGACCUAGUGUUAGGAGGGGACACAAUCUGCUACCCAACAGCCACUGAGAGCAGCACAGAUGAGGGCGCCAACAGAAGACCUAUGAAACAGCAAGCUGAGUUCACGAAGCAGGGGGAAGAUACAAAGACCUGUCAAUCAAAUCAUUAAGGGCACACCAUCUCCAGGUUAAGUAGGUAACUGAUACUCCUUAAGCCACGGUGCCAGAGAGAUAUGAGCAAUGUGAAGAAGCAGAGAAACCACUCCCAAUUAAAAGAUCAAGAGAAAUCCCCUGAAAGCAUGAUCAAGGAAAAAGACAUUGAUGGCCUACUAGAUAAAGGUUUCAAAAAAAGAGUGAUCAAAGUACUGAAGGAACUAAAAAAAAUAGUGUUUAGGGAUAUAAAAUAUGUCAAAAAUGAAAUAGAAACUAUAGAGAAGAACCAAGUAGAAGUAGUAAACUCAUUGUCUGAGAUGAGAGCUGACCUAAAGGCUGUGCAAAGCAGACUAGAAAAUACAGAAGAACAAGUAUGUGAUCUAGAAGACAGGACAACAGGAAGCACCCAAUCAGAACAGCUGAGAGAAAAACAAAUAAAAAACAAUGGAAACAAUAUACGGGACCUACGGGGUAAUAUAAAGUGUGCCAAUCUAUGCAUAAUAGCAUUUCCAGAAGGGAAAAAAGAACAAAGGGGAUUGAAAAGGUAUGGGAAGGACUCAUGACUGAAAACUUCCCAAACCUAAAGAAGGAAUCAUAUCCAAGCACAGGAGGCUCAGAGGGUCCCAAACAGGAAGAACCCAAACAUACCCACACCAAGGCAUAUCCUAAUCAAGAUAGCCAGAGUCAAGGAUAAAGAAAUGAUCCUAAAGGAAGCAAGAGAAAAACAGAGUGAGUUACAAGGGAACCCCCAUAAGGUUUUCAGCUGAUUUCUCUACACUGUUUACAACAGCUAAGACAUGGAAACAGCCUAAAAUGUCCAUCAACAGAUGACUGGAUAAAGAUGUGGGAUAUUUAUAUGAUGGGAUACUAUUCAGCCACAAAAACUGACAACAUAACGCCAUUUGCAGAGACAUGGAUGCUCCUGGAGAAUGUUAUUCUAGGUGGAGCAGAACAGAAAGAGAAAGAGGAAUACCAUAUGAGAUCACUCAUGUGUGGAAUGUUAAAUAUAUGCAAUGUCUUGUGGUAACUCACAGCAAAAAAAAAAGUGACAAUGAAUGUAUGUACGUUCAUGUAUAACUGAAAAAUUGUGCUCUACACUGGAAUUUGUCAUAACAUUGUAAAAUGACUAUUACUCAAUAAAAAAUGUUUAAAAAUAAGUAAAAUAAAAUAUAACCUUUAAAAUACUGUAUAAUGAGAGGUGUGAUGUUCUAGUAUCUGUUCUAAGAAGUACGUUAGACACACAUAAGAAUAACCAAUGGUCAGAAAGAUCACAUGUUACCAGCUACCACCCCAUGCAAAUUAAUGGCAUUUAGGAGAUAUUCAUAUAUGUAUGUACAUAUGUAAAAUAUGUAUUAUAUAUAUGUAAAUCAAAUAAAAUAUUAUAAUCUAAUGUAAAA